rnacentral:rRNA from 1 species
CCCUUAGAUGUUCUGGGCCGCACGCGCGCUACACUGACGAAGUCAGCGAGCAUGUCCUACGCCGACAGGUGCGGGGAAUCUUGUCAAACUUCGUCGUGAUGGGGAUUGAUUAUUGAAAUUCUUGAUCAUCAACGAGGAAUUCCUAGUAAGCGCAAGUCAGCAGCUUGCGUUGAUUACGUCCCUGCCCUUUGUACACACCGCCCGUCGCUACUACCGAUUGAAUGGUUUAGUGAGAUCUUCGGAUUGGCGCCACUGCGGCUCAGCAAUGGGCUCGGUGGAUGCCGAAAAGUUGAUCAAACUUGAUCAGUUAGAGGAAGUAAAAGUCGUAACA